AUAUUUUAAAUAUAAAUAUUUCUAUAUAAAGGAAAGGAAAGGUAGAAUGAGAAGGAAAAGGAAAGAAAGAAAAAAUAAACAAAGAAACAAAAAGAGAGAGAAAGAAAAAGGAAGGAAGGAAGGAAGGAAGGAAGGAAGGAAGGAAGGAAGGAAGGAAGGAAGGAAGGAAGGAAGGAGGGAGGAAAGAAAGAAAGAAAGAAAGAAAGAAAGAAAGAAAGAAAGAAAGAAAGAAAGAAAGAAAGAAAGAAAGAAAGAAAGAAAGAAAGAAAGAAAGAAAGAAAGAAAGAAAGAAAGAAAGAAAGAAAGAAAGAAAGAAAGAAAGAAAGAAAGAAAGAAAGGAAGAAAGAAAGAAAGAAAGGAAGGAAGGAAGGAAGGAAGGAAGGAAGGAAGGAAGGAAGGAAGGAAGGAAGGAAGGAAGGAAGGAAGGAAGGAAGGAAGGAAGGAAGGAAGGAAGAGUGCAAAAUAGCGGCUCAAGAGCUGGCUGUGGAUUUGGGAAGUCCCAAGUGGAAGUUGUGUCUCUGAGACAUGAUGGCCUGAUGGCCAUGGGACAGGAGCAAGUAAUUUAGCAUCUCAGUGCCCAAGGCAGCCCUCUAAGACCUAGCCCUAGCCACAUAAGACAGAUGUAGGCUAAAAAAAAAGUCGCUGAUGUACACCACUGCAGGGAGUUUCCACACACGGGUAGCUCCACAAAUGAUGAAAUCAUA
rnacentral:lncRNA from 1 species